rnacentral:rRNA from 1 species
GUCUACGGCCAUGCUACCCUGAACAAGCCCGAUUCCAUCUGAUUUCAGAAAUUAAGCAGGGUCGGGCCUGGUUAGUACUUAGGAAGACCAGGUGCUGUAGGCA